GACUUUCGUUCUUGAUCAAUGAAAACAUCCUUGGUAAAUGCCUUCGCAGUUGUUCGUCUCCCAUAAAUCCAAGAAUUUCACCUCUAGCUGCAGGAUUCGAAUACCCCCAACUGUCCCUGUUAAUCAUUCUCUUGAUGUGCAAACCAACAAAAUAGCAUCGAGAGCCUAUCUUAUCAUCCCAUACUAACAUUUUCCGAAGAAACUUCUUCUUGAAGCGACCAACUUUAUUUACAGUGAAAGACCGUGCCGAGGCACGGAGGAUGGCCAGACAUGACACACAGCACGAGGGUUGCCCCAAGGCCAGGUCAGUCCUACCAGAAAUUCGACUACGAGCUUUUUAACUGCAACAACUUUAGUACACGCUAUUGGAGCUGGAAUUACCGCAGCUGCUGG
rnacentral:misc_RNA from 1 species